GCCAUUCGAUACGGUGCAAUAGAAAUCGGUGCAGUACCAGGUAACAGAUCAAUAGAAAACUCAACUUCUCUAGUCGGAGGUAACCCAGGCAAUUCCUCUGGAAAUACAUUUGGAAAUUCACGGACUACCGGCACUGAUUCAAGCUUCGACCCAGUUAUAUCAGUAUUCAACACAUAAGCAAGAUAAACUUCACAUCCCUUUCUCAAGUAUUUCUGAGCAGACAUGUGCGAAAUCACCAUAGGCAACUUAUUCGGCUCCUCUGUUUCAAUCCGGAGAAUUUCACCAUUUUCACACUUUAAUUCAAGAAUUUUCUGUCUACAAUUCACCUUGGCAUCAUGCAAUAUCAACCAAUCCAUCCCCAAAAUAACAUCGAACUCAUCA
rnacentral:lncRNA from 1 species